rnacentral:rRNA from 1 species
UACGAAGGGUGCAAGCGUUACUCGGAAUCACUGGGCGUAAAGCGCACGUAGGCGGGUCCUUAAGUCAGGGGUGAAAUCCCGGAGCUCAACUCCGGAACUGCCUUUGAUACUGGGGAUCUUGAGUCCGGAAGAGGUGAGUGGAACUCCGAGUGUAGAGGUGAAAUUCGUAGAUAUUCGGAAGAACACCAGUGGCGAAGGCGGCUCACUGGUCCGGUACUGACGCUGAGGUGCGAAAGCGUGGGGAGCAAACAGG